AGAGUUUGAUCCUGGCUCAGAACGAACGCUGGCGGCGCGCUUAACACAUGCAAGUCGAACGGGGUGAGGGGCUUGCUCCUCAUCUAGUGGCGCACGGGUGAGUAACGCGUAGAUAAUCUGCCUGACGAUCUGGGAUAACACUUCGAAAGGGGUGCUAAUACCGGAUAAGCCCACGGAGUCUUUGGACUUUGCGGGAAAAGGGGGGGACCUUCGGGCCUUCUGUCGUUAGAUGAGUCUGCGUACCAUUAGCUGGUUGGCGGGGUAAAGGCCCACCAAGGCGACGAUGGGUAGCUGGUCUGAGAGGACAAUCAGCCACACUGGAACUGAGACACGGUCCAGACUCCUACGGGAGGCAGCAGUGGGGAAUUUUGCGCAAUGGGGGAAACCCUGACGCAGCGACGCCGCGUGGAUGAUGAAGGCCUUCGGGUCGUAAAGCUCUGUCGAUAUUGGACGAACAAUUUCCCGUAAAUAAUGGGAAGGAAUGACGGUACCCACAAAGGAAGCACCGGCUAACUCCGUGCCAGCAGCCGCGGUAAUACGGAGGGUGCAAGCGUUGUUCGGAAUUAUUGGGCGUAAAGCGCGUGUAGGCGGUUUGUUAAGUCUGGUGUGAAAGCCCUGGGCUCAACCUGGGAAGUGCAUUGGAUACUGGCAAACUUGAGUACGGGAGAGGAUAGUGGAAUUUCGAGUGUAGGGGUGAAAUCCGUAGAUAUUCGAAGGAACACCGGUGGCGAAGGCGGCUAUCUGGACCGAUACUGACGCUGAGACGCGAAAGCGUGGGGAGCAAACAGGAUUAGAUACCCUGGUAGUCCACGCCGUAAACGAUGAGUGCUAGGUGUCGGGGGUAUCGACCCCCUCGGUGCCACAGCUAACGCAAUAAGCACUCCGCCUGGGGAGUACGGUCGCAAGACUGAAACUCAAAGGAAUUGACGGGGGCCCGCACAAGCGGUGGAGUAUGUGGUUUAAUUCGACGCAACGCGAAGAACCUUACCAAGGCUUGACAUCCUACGAACCCUUAGCAGAGAUGUGUCCUCCCCUUCGGGGGCAAGGGAGACAGGUGGUGCAUGGUUGUCGUCAGCUCGUGUCGUGAGAUGUUGGGUUAAGUCCCGCAACGAGCGCAACCCUUAUCCUUAGUUGCCAUCAUUAAGUUGGGCACUCUGGCAGAACUGCCGUUGACAAAACGGAGGAAGGUGGGGAUGACGUCAAAUCAUCAUGCCCCUUAUGGCCUGGGCUACAAACGUAAUACAAUGGCGGUGACAAUGGGUAAUCCCUUAAAACAGGUCCCAGUUCGGAUUGUAGGCUGCAACUCGCCUACAUGAAGUUGGAAUCGCUAGUAAUCGCAGGUCAGCAUACUGCGGUGAAUACGUUCCCGGGCCUUGUACACACCGCCCGUCACACCACGAAAGUCGG
rnacentral:rRNA from 1 species